AUGAAGUUGCCGCGGUGGGACGUGGCCGCCGCCGGGGCCGAGAGCGCGCACGCCGACGCGCAGCAGCUCACGCCGCCCGCCACGCCCGGCGCGGACGAUCGGGCGGCGACCGGCUCUCGCAGGCGGCCACCCGCAGGCGGCGGCGACGGCGAUGGGGGCGCGUUCGUGUGCAGGACGUGCAGCAGGCGGUUCCCGACGUUCCAGGCGCUGGGCGGGCACCGGACGGGCCACACGCGGCUGCAGGCGCGCCAGCAGCGGCCCGCCCCUCGCAAGCCUCGGCCGCACCACGAGUGCGCCGUCUGCGGGCUCGAGUUCGCCAUGGGCCAGGCGCUCGGCGGCCACAUGCGCCGGCACAAGCAGGUUGAGCCACAGGCGCACGUGGAGGAGGCGCUGGGCGCAGUGCACAUGCGCCGGCACAAGGAGGCCGGCGCACAGGCGCCUGUGGAGGAGGAGGUGGCGCUGGGCUGGCACGAGCAGGCCGACGCGCAGGCGCCUCAGCCGCGUGUGGAGGAGGAAGAGGCGCCAGGCGGGCACGUGCGCUGGCACAAGCAGGCCGGGGCACAGGCGGCGCGCGUGCAGGAUGAGCACCACCAGCAGGAGGAGGAGGCGCUGGACUUGAACUGCCCGCCGCCGCUGGAGGAUCAUCGCGGCGGUGACGACCGAGGAGAUUGUUCCGCCGCGUCAGACCCUCCUCUGCUCAACCUCCUCGUGUAG
rnacentral:rRNA from 1 species